rnacentral:lncRNA from 1 species
CCCUUUUGUACCACCUUUCUGGAGGGUUCUAUGUUUUGUUGUGGAGACAGCAACAAGUUUUCCCUUGUGGGAGAUAAUCGUAGUUCUUCCUUAUUUUUGGUUGGUUCAUUUGGUUGGUGAUGCUUUUGUUGUGGCUGUGACUGUGAAUGAUGAUGUGUUUGAGGAUGUUGGUGCUGCUGCUCUAGCUCUGAUAGAGAAAGGUGAUGCUUUUGUUGUGGCUGUGACUGUGAAUGAUGAUGUGUUUGAGGAUGUUGGUGCUGCUGCUCUAGCUCUGAUAGAGAAGCCCCCAUUUCAGUUGGUAUGCUAUAUGUUUUUCAUUCGUGCUUGCUUUUAUUUAUAUAUAAAAUUAGAUACUGUUAUUUUAGAAAGUAAUGUAUUCUCUGAUUAGGAACAUUUGCCUCAGACCGUGAGUUGAUGAUCCUUUUGGAAUAUUACAUAUUGUGAGAAUUUUUUUUACUCUGUAGAAAAUUCUCAAGGUGGUGGUUUAUUUAUCAUAAUGACAUAGGAAAUGUAUUUGUUAAAAAACACCAAAAAUAAGUAUGGGUGAUAUUCAUUUUAUCUGAAGUCUAAUUAGAGUAUUAUUAAACCUGCAUUUAUAUCCAUUAAAUAGUGGGUAUUUAAAUAUCCAUUUAUUUUAUCAGCAGAUAUUCAUUAAGUUACCCGCCCCGUAUUCGUGAUAGAUUUUAUUUGGCGCCACCAACGGAUACACAUUUUUUUUGCCAUCCCUAAAUUUUACCUUCUUCGAUCUUGAGAUCAGAUAUGUCCAUAAUAGUUUUUUUCUAAAAUAAUCUUCAUCAUUCUUGUGGACUUAGGUGCCAAAGCUUCCUACGCCACAAAUUAGUUUCUUCAACUUUAGAUAUGAGACAAGAUUGGGGUUUAUUUUCAUAAGUGGGUGACCACAAGUAGCAAUUGUUAGUAGAUCUAGAAUCCUUCAUGAGUUAAGUGUGUUGUUUAUAUGUAAUCGUGCAUUCUUCGCUAUUAAACUUAAUGCUUAAAUCCUGAUCACAUAAUUAACGGAUGAUGAUGAAAUUUUCAAUAAGACUAUCAAUCAACAACACAUCUUUAAGAUAAGGAAGUCCAAGACAAUCUAACUGACCCUUUUCAAUAAUUUAUCAUCUAACACCAUCGUAAAAACUAACAUAAUAGUUGGAAUAGGGUUUGAUAUUCUUUAGAUAGUUCCUUUCAUUAGCCACAUGUCUUUAAUAAUUUCUAUUAAAGUACUAGUUUUCUCUAGAUGAAACCUUGAGAAAGUUGCAAGCAAUAUUAGCUUGAAGCUUAGGCUUGUCACGUUAUAGUUAUUGAGGAUGCCGAUCAGUCUUUAUAUUCCACUAGGGAUAUAGUUGUUUUUAUGUAGAUUUUUACCAUAUAGUUUAUAACAUAAAGGAUGAAUGUGCCCACACCAACCAUAGUAAUAACAAACCCUUAGAGAUUUGACUAAGGUGUUAGUGUGCUACUAAUAAUGUUAGGUAGGUUGUUGUGACAUUAUACCAUACAUCGUAGUUUCUGAUUUAUGUGUAGGAGGAACAAACACAAUAUUUGGGGAUGAUGAUAUGCUAGUAUAUCAAACUUCUUUUUAUUCUUUGCAAGUUUGUCCAUACUUAAAAUGUCAUCAAGUUUAUCAUAUCCAUAAUUUAGCAUGCGCACAUAUUUGGUCAUACCUUCAAGUUUAGAAUUAAGACGCCCAACUUCUUGCUUCAAAUCAUUAAUAGUGAGCAUGGUUCAAUUUUUUUCUUGAAAAAUAGUUUCAAUUCAUACCUUUUUUUGUUAAUCACUUUUGAUUCUUCAUUCCACUUUAAAUAAAGAGUUUGUAUAUGCUUCAUAAAGGGCAUCAAUCGAUAGCUCAUCUUCAUCACUUUCAUUCCCAUUACAAUUAGGAAAUAUAUAAGCAUUAGGUAACUCCGGAUUAGAAAUCUCUUUGAAACGAGUAGUAAGAGCCACAACAUUAUUUGUUUGAUCAAACUCACGUUCUUUGUCAGAUUCAUCAUCUGAAAAGGCGACAUUAUAGUUUUUUCUUUUUUUUAUUAUAAAAUUAGAACAUUCAAAUUUGAUAUGUCCAAAUCCUUCACAUUCACGACAUUGAAUUUCUUUAGCUCUGUUGGGAUCACAGAGUUUUUUAUUUUACCAUAUUUUCCUCGACGCUAAAAUUUACCACUUUUCAGAUUUUGUUGUUGAUUGUCUUUGACAUUGGAAUGACAUUGUUCCAAAUCUUCUAUCAAUUUUCUCAUGCUAAAGCUCUUAGUGAGUAUAGAAGUAGAUUCAGUUAAAUUAUCAUCAGUGUCAUUGACUACAUGGUCUUCAUGAUCAACAAUGUCAACUUUGGUACACCUUUAUUCUUUCUCUCAGAUUUUUCAUCAAUGACAAUAUCAAAGGUGGGUAAGGAGUCAAUCAAUUAAUUAAAUUUCAUUUUGAAGAUAUUUCUAGCUUCCUCAAUGGUAGUAACCUUCAUAAUAAACCUCUUUGGUGGAGAUCCUAGAAAUUUUCUUAUAGGCUUCUCGUAUGACAUUUUUUCACUAAGAGCGAAUGAGUUAUUAGUAAUGUCACAAAGAUGUACAUUAAAUUCACUAAUAGGUUCAUCCUCAAACAUAUUCAAAAUUUCAAAUUUAGUGGUAAAAAGUUGAAGUCUUGACAUAAAAACUUUGGAAGUUCCCUAAUGAGCAACUUCAAGAUUUUUUCAUUCCUCUUUAGCACUAGUGCUUAUGUUAAUGAUUCAUUCCCCUAACUAUAUUUUUGUAAACUCCAUUGUAAAUAGAAUUAUGAAAAUGAUAACUCCCAAGUGCUUCUUCAUCUUCGACAUAUGUCCAAUCUUUUCCAGGCUUCACAUAUUCUAAAUCAUCAUCAUCUUUGAUCGUAGGAGGAUUUCAUUCAUUGAUGAUCUUUUUCCAAGUUUUGUCAUCCAUGAUCUUAAGAAAGGAGACCAUAUGUUCUUCCAAUAGUCAUAAUUAGUACCAUCAAGAAUUGGUGGAUGGUUAAUAUAUCCUAAUUCCUUGGUAUUGUCCAUCUUAAACAUAAUAUGAUAGAUACCCUAAAAUGCACCCAACUAAAGCAGGGUGCAUGCUCUGAUGCCCAUUAAAAUUAUGUUUGAUCGAUAACAAGAUGUCACACACAAUGUAGAAACAAUGCGUGAGACAAAUUGAUAUGAAAUAAUCGAUGAACAAUCAAAUAAAUUAUAAAUAAGAAACACAAAGAAUUGGUAUCCCAGUCUGGUGCAAUCAUCACUUAUGUGCGGAGGGUUGUAGCCCAAAGGAAAAGAAAUUCACUAAUUAGAAGUAGUCAAUAGUAUACGACGGUCUCAUCUUAAGGAAUAUCUUGAGUUUCUUGAAGAAAGUAAUAAAAUGCUUAAGUUCGAAUUUGCUAGUAUUAGAAAAUCAACUUAAACAUGUGAGACUUGCGUCUCUUUGAAAAAGGAAGUGACAGAUCUAUAUGAAAUCUUAAGUAAGUUUACUAAGGAAAAAUAAAACAUUGACCUGAUCUUAUUAAGUCAAAAUCCUUCCUUAAAUAAAAUUGGAUUUGUUAAAAAUUUCAAGAAUAUCAAAAAUAAAUAUUGGUGAUAUUCCUUUUUUUAAUCUAAUUGGAGUUUUAACUUCUUUCUAUUUAAAUAUUAGAUAAAUAAACAAUCAAAAAUUAAUAUUUUUUUAAUUUAAUUGACAUUUUGACUUCUAUUUAUAAAAAUAUAUAUUGAAGUAACAUUUUCUCUUUUAAUCGAGUUGGUUUUGACAUUUUCUAUUAUUUUUAGUCGAUGAUUUUUUGAACAUUUUUAUCGAUGCUUCACAAAGGACUAAUGGUAAAACAUUUUUUUAAAAGAUAAACUUCAACAAAAAUUGUUUCACCUUAUUUUAAUCUCAUUCUUUCAUACUGAGUAACCUUUAUAAUUGGUCGAAUUGUUACUCGAAUGUUUUGCAUGGAUCAUAUCGCUAACUAUUUCUUGCAAUGAACGAUUCUUCGUUUCACCAAUUCCAUUAUGGUGAGGUGUGAUGAGGGCAGGGAGUUCAUGGACAAUCCCUUCAGUUGUGCAGAAAUGAGAGAAGCUGGAGUUCUCAAAUUAUCUGACAAGAUCGCUUCGAAUGGGAAUGAUAUUGGAAAGUUCUUAUCCCUUUUCACCUUGUAGAGGACGACAAAGAGUUUCAAAAUAAUGAAGGUGUCAUACUUUUCACGAAUAAACUCCAUCUGGUGUACCUGGAGUAGUCAUAAACAUACACAAAAACAUAUCUCUUAUCUUCAAGACUCUCAACUUGCAUAGGUCUCAUAAAAUCCAUAUGAAGUAAUUCAAGAAUACGAGUAGUGGUAAGAUAUUGAGCCUUCUUAUCUGAAAUCUUAUUUUGCCUCCUAAUCUAAUAGUCUCACUACUACAAAAAUCAUAUUUUACCUUGGACGUCAAUGGGAUUUUACCUUGCUUACUUAAGUGAGAUAACGAAUGACGUCAUAAAAACUUGCCAUUUUACCCAUCGGUUUCUGAUUAACUGAGGGGAUAGUUGAAAUUGUCAUUUUUUCGACCCCCAACAACAACAUUUUUAUAUUUUUAAAACUAACGCCACAUACCUCGGUUUCUAUCAAAAACCGAGGGAAAAAUAUUUUUUUGAAAUACAAAUUACAUUGUUUACACAGAAUAUUAAAUUACAUUGUUUUAAAAUAUCUAUUUCUUUAUUAAAGUACAAAGUUUAUUAUGUUACAUUGUUUUGGUUUCAAUAUACAAGUACACAUUUUUGACAAAUCUGAUUCAUCAUCACCACUCUUAUUCUUGAAGAAGAACAAAUCCAUAUUUCGUUGCAUACCCAUUGCUUUUCAAGUUCAAUAGUUUUGCACGCUUUCAAUUUUUGAUUUAACAUAAAAAAGGUUAUAUACAUAACAUAAAAUUUCAGUUAAAAGAUAAGAUAUUAUGUAAGAAUAUCACCCUUGGAACAAUUUUUUUAUGCACUUGCAAUCCAUCCCAGAUAUUUGUUACAAGCUUCAAAUUGCUUUUCAUGGUCAAUGCUUCAUUGUCAAUGUUUAGGUUUCAAAGGACAACGCCUAUGAUAUAUAGUGGUGGUGUUCGUGUUCUUAUUGGAUGUAAUGGGUAUCUUGUGGAUUGAUGUGUUGACAAUAUCUUGAGCGUUGUUACUGUAUGAAUGUAGGACAUAAAUUCAUUAUAGGCUAAUUGAGUAACUAUACCCCUCGGUUCUUUUAUGAAAGAACCAAGGUAAUAUAUUACUUGCAAAACCAAAUGGUGAAUGGUAAAAAGUUGAAAGUAACAUGUAUUAUUUCCUUUUUUAGAUUUUUACCAUUCAUCACUUUCUUUGUGUGCUGGCAUAUUCAAAUAAAGGAUUGUAUUCAAUACAAAUUUUCAAGAUCUUAUAUUAUGAAACAAAAAGAUUUCUUGUAAUUUAUAGUAUGUUUAAGAACAAAUUUCUCAUGUUGUCAAUCGAGAAACAAAUAAAUUAUGGAGUGUUUUUUUUACUGACAACAUAGGAAGUUAUUCCAAAAUAUAACAAUCGUCUUGCAAUAGGUGGAAACAACAACAACAACAACACCGCAAAAACCCAUUAUGUGAGAUAGAUUGCGAGAGCAUAAUUUUUUUUGUUCAAGGUUGGUGUUAGAAGAACAACAUACAACACAAAACCUUGAAUAUUUUCUCUGUCUUGCAAUCCAUCCUAAAGAAAAAUGUGUACGAGUUUGGAAACAAUGGAAAAAACUCAGAAACCCCAAAAAAGAAAACGUGACACAAUGGAAUCAAAUCCAAGUCAAGGGAAUUGGUAGACCAGAGCCUCAACAAUCUCAACCACUAACCUCAAUCUGUCAAACAAUGGCAAUGAAUGAUAUAUAAGAGAAAACAAACGCAAUAAAUGGUAUAACAAAAUGAACAUCAAAACUUAGUACCAACACUAUGCUUUCAUGAACAACCAUGUUUAUCUACUUCUUCACAUUGCAAAUAAACAAACUCCAAAACUCAAACCAAACAUGACACAAAUUCAAGUUCUCAUCAAAAGAAACAUGAAGGUGAUAAUGGCAAAGAUGAUGGCUAUCAAUUAUGAAUUAUUUUUAGUGUCUCACCCUUCAAUGUAUCUACUCAAGUGACAAACAACAAACUACUCAGAAAACAAAAAAUGGCCACUGCAUUUCCAACUUCAUGUUUAAUUAAGGUCAUUUUUAAGCAAGUAAUAAACAAUCUAAAAGAAAUGAAAACCAAGAGAAACAUAAACAAUGCAUUCUCAAACAAACAAAACCAGAAUGAACGCAACAAAACCUUUACACUGAAGGCAAUGGCAAUGGAUGUGGUUCUCGGUGAUGAUAUUGUGGGCGCCAGUGAAACUCACGAUGAAGGAGUUUAAGGAUGGUUCCCAGCGAUGGUAUCAUGGAAGCAAAGGUUGUCGCUUGAUGCGUAUGUUGGUGGUUUACGAAGAGGAUGGUGUUUCUCACGGUGGCUUUGAUGUUGAAGUGAAGGGAGUUGUUUGAAUGAUGAUUACACAGUUGUGAGGAGAAGAUGUGGUGAAUAAGGGUGGUGUCACGGUUGUGAAGAUUUACAGGGUGUGAGUUUUGUUUGGAAGAGUGGAAGAUGAGGUAAGUGGUUGAAUGGUAUGUGGUUUGUGGUUUGUGUAUUUUGAUGUAGGGAGAUGAAAGAGGUAUGGCGUAUGGGAGUUGAAGGUUUGUUGUUUUAUAAUGGAAAAAGAGUGAAGAAGAAUUAUAGUGGAGAGGUAUUUUUAGGAAGAAGAGGGUGUGAGGUUGGUUUUGCGUUUUUGCAGCAAACUCAAAUUAGAGAGAGGAGAUGAAGAAUACCAUACGUGAGGGAGCCAACCAACGAGAUCUUUUUUUUUAUAUUAUGAAAACAGGUUGUCAGCCACCUAUUGGUUCUUAUAGGAUUGUUUUGAAAUAAAAAAGCACCUUUCUCAUGCACCGUGUGUCCGUCUCAAAUUGGCUAUAUCCCUCUUUUUUGUCUUUUUCGUUUUAGUGGAGUGAGAGAAAGAUGCUAGUGGGAAUCCCAAAUGUGUUUCUCAUUUUUUGUGUAGUCUCUCUUGUUGGAGGAACAAAACCAUUGCCAGCUUUUUGUUUAUUUUAUCACCAUCGAGAAAAGCGGGUUCAUGAGAGGGAGAGAAAUUUUGAAUGGAUUUCUUGUGAGGACACAUGGCACAAAGUUAUUAGAAGAAGAGAUAUAUUUUCCUAUUUUCUUGAUUUUCUUUAACAAAUUUAAAUUAUUAAGUGGAAUUUCAAAAAUAAAUUAAAAAUAAACGACACAAUCAAAAUUCAAACUAAAAACAAGAUAAUUUCUAAAUAAUCGUCUCGAUUAUUUUGACUAGAAAACAUAAAUAAAUGGAUAAAAAAUUAAUAAAAAUCGGGCGCAAAAAUGCCCAAAAAAUUAAUAUGGUUGCACCACAAUGAUCAAUGCAAAAUAAACUUCUCGAAAACAUACAGUUUUUUAUCGAAUUUGAAAAAAAAAUGUCCGAUUAAAACGCUCAGGCAAAUGAAAAUGUAACCGAAAAAGUAGCUGAAAAAAUAAAUCGAGCACACCAGGUUAAACUACGUGAAACAUAGAUUAAUAAAAUUGAUGUUUGUAAACUCAAUUUUGAUAUUUUUCGUCCGCUGAUUUGACACACAUUUGAAAAUUGAUUCAAUCAGUCUGUUUGUAGAUCCAAAAAUUUAUUUUGACUAACAUUCUAGGAAUUAUGCGGUAUGGGGUGCAUGUUAUGAUAUGCAGAGAUGCAAAAACUGUGAUAUAUGUAUUGAUUCCGCGAUUCAGGGUCAAAAUUGGGGUGUGACACAUAUGUCUCAUGAUUAUUAACUGAAUAAUAAUAAUAAGUCAUAACAUUAACAUUAAUAUCAUCCGGUCAUAUGUCUUGAUCAAGUAAAAAUAGGUUCGUCCUCAAAUUUGACCUAACCUAAAGGAAUCUAGCUACUCGUGCUGAAAUUAAUCAAUACCAGUAGUUUAGAUUCAAAGAGCAUGAAAAAUCACUAAAGAAGAAGCUCUCCAAUGGCCUUCAAAAUCUCCAAAAUCACUCUAAAACGUCUCUCUCUCUCUCUCUCUCUCUCUUCUCUCUCCUCUCUUCUCCCCUCCUCCUCUCUCUCUCUUUUAUAUAAAGUUGCUGGAACGCGGGCACGUUGCACUAUCAUUACUUCAAUGUUGGCGUAUUGCUUUUCAAUGCUGGCUCGUUAGAGGCAGUGUGCGCAUGUUAUAGUCGUGUAAAAUCCAGGGGCUUCAAUGCGUUUUUGCUCCUUUUUUUCACCAAUUUUCUCACUAAGUCAUUUUCUUCACCCUAUGACGUUUUUUUCCAACUUUUUCAAUUAAAUGCUUCUAACUUGCUCAAUUCUUUUCAGAAUUCAACGAUUUUUCUUGCUAAAUGACGUGCAUUGAUAACCCUUCAUCAUAACCCCAAAUUUAAAUUGUUGCUUGUCCUCAAGUAACCUGUACGCACACUAAAACUUUAUCAAAAAAAUUAGAAACCUUACCACAUGAAUGUCACUUGAUUUUGCUAAUCAAGACCUUCGUUUCAUGAUUAGGUUUAAUCAAAUCUGAUAAUUUAUUACAUCAUCAUUACUUAACAUGUCUCUCUACUUACCAUGAUGCACUCAAUUGAAAGGAUGUUCACUCAAUCAACAUGCAAGGGUAAAAACCAGUGAAUUUAUAAGUUAUCUCCAAAAUCAGUCAGAUCAUAUUUAAACGCACAUAUUUGAGGAUUUUUUCAGUUGUAAUAUGGCUUAUGUCAGGGUAGGAUAAUUUUUGGAUAAUUGGUUUAAACCUUGGAGUUAGGUACCUCUUUGUCCUUCCGUUAUCUUUUCCCUUUCAUAUCAUUCUUUCUUUCAUACUUGGUACUAGAGAUUUUUCAAAUUUGUGGUCUUUUUCAUCAAUUUAUUUUUUGAAAAUGCCAUGUUUUAACAUCUUAUUUUAUUUAUUUUUCUUUUCUUAGACCAAAUACUAUAGUACCCCCAACCCCAAAUUAAGUGUUGCUAACUUCUAAGAGCAACCCCAAACUUAGUGUUAGCUUAUACCAAAAUUAAAAUCUAUCUACCUAACUCUAAGGAGGAUGGAAAGAUUUAUAUAUUUUAAGUCAAGGGCUUAUAAUAGGCUAAUUCUCCGAAGGAAAUGCUAAUUCACAAAUUGGUUAACAAUGGAUAUCAGUCAUAAUGUAAGGGUAGUUUAUAAGUCCGUAGAGUUUUCACAAACAAUUGCCUUUAUGCAUGUUUAUCAUAUCAACUUACUUUAAACAAAUAAAAUGUAAGUUCUAGAUAUUACAAUUGCAUGGAUACACUGAGAAAAAUAAAUAAGUAAACAAAUGGAAAUAUUAUGGCUCAAACCUCACAAGUUUAUAUUUGUAGAUUAAGCAACAACAAUGGUGUCCCCUUUCUUCAUUAAUCAUUACUCAGCAAAGUCACUUUGAUCUCGAUCACACUAUUCUCUAUCUAUUGUGACUUAUUUUCUAUUCAAAGGUAAGGUAGUAAUUAAACUGAAAAAGAAACAUACACAAACAAAAUUCAUUUAUCAAAGACAAAGCAAUACAAAAUUUAGGGCAGACAACAUUUUUGGAGCUCCCCCUUUUUAACUGAUUGGUACAAAAGGAAAUAAACAAAAGGAAAUAAAACAAAAGUAGUAUGUUGGACUAGAAACCAUCAUCAGGACGGAAGAAGUCAUGAAGUCGAGUAAGGUCAUCAUUAUAUUCCUGAUUCUACCUAGCCCAAAGGAUCCUCAUCUCUGCUUGCAUGUUUUCUAAGCUUUGAUUCUGCUCCACAAAGUGCGUCUCUGUCGCUACUAAAGUAGGAGAUUUUUUGCUUAGAUUAGGGACAAAUACAUGAUCUAUGCGAUGAUCAUAAAAAUCUUGGUACCCGACCCAAAUCUCGGGGUGUUGAUGUACAGAUUAGGCGACGCUUCAUGAGCCUAAGUGGUUAUGCCCAAGGAAAAUUCUUAUCACUGAUGCAUUUGUUCAGAACGUUGCUGAUUUUGAUGGGCUUCCUCAGGUGGUUGUUUCAUCUCAGGACGGUAGACAUCAUCCUCUCCUUGCUCCUCUUGGCCUCUGGCUGGAUGACGUGGGUGGAGGGUCUUGCGGAUGGAACUUGUUGUGGUUAGAAGCAUAUGGUUGAUCAUCACCUCUUCUGGGUGCAUCUGGACUCCUGCCAACCUGCAAAAUUUGUUAAUAACACAAAAGUGCUCCCUAUUUCUUUGGGGGGCAUCAUCCAUAAAUUUGAUGUUUCUCGUAAUGAGUAUUCCCAUAUUAAUAUGCUCAUAAUGCAAGAUAGCCGUGAGAGUCUGGCACAUUCUCACCGUCAAGUCAGAAUGAGUUGAAAUGCCUCCAAGGUUUGGAUUAAAAACGAAGCCCAAGCCUUAGGUAUCAGGAGCAUGUCUCUAACCUUCAAAUUAAUAAACCUAUCUUAAGCCAUUAUCCACUCAGUCUCAGGAUGACAAAACUCAGCCAACAUCAUCUGACUCAUCUCAUCAGAUAAUCGCACCUUCCUACUAUUUUGAAUGUUACAACUUGGAGGUGCUUGGAGACGAAUAAGAGAAUUAAUAGCUUGAGGAGAAAAAUCAAUACUUUUACCUCGGGCAUAUGAUGUGUAAUCAUGAGAUUUUUGAUUGGCAGCGUUCACGUAGAACUCAAACCCAAUGUUUUACUUGUCUCCUUAAUCAGCUUAUUCAGGCACGUUCAUCCUCUUGUCUCUAGUAUGUUGUUUAACUCUUCAAAUCUAGAGAGAUGCUCCUGAUCAAAGGCACACUCCCUCAUAAUUAUGAACUUCUUAAUCUGCAUGAGUUUUUAUGCGCUCGGUUCAUUCACAAAUAGAUACGAGGGGUAGUUGGAGCUGAUGAUAUGGAUUGACCAAAGGUACAACUUCUAUUUGGUGGUGCCAUAAAUUAUGUAAACACAAUAGUGAAAACAACAAGUCUUUUGCAAGAAUAUGAUAGUAAUUUGUGAGAAGAAGAGAGAAUUAAGAUUGGAAUGAAAAAGAAUAGCUGAAAAACCACUUUUAAAGGCCAGCUUCGCGUCCAACGUGCGCGUUGAGAUCGAAGGUGCCCGCGUUGACCAAUGGUAGAGCCAACGAUCAUCAAUCCAACGGUCAAAGCAAAUGGUCAAAAUCCCCAACUAUCAAAUCCUUCCACGCGCCCGUAUUUUUUCAGGGGCUAUCUCCAUUUUUCUGUACAAGAUUUUACUUUUCUAUCACUUGCUUAUUGUUACAUGCUACCUCCAUUGCCUUUUUUGAUGAUUCUACUCAUCCAACAAACAUAAAAAAUACGAACACAAUAAAAUAAAAAAUACAUUUAAAUUUAAAUUAAUGGAAAUUAAAAUUAUCUGAUAUGAAAUUAAUUAGAAUGGAGACAGUUAGACUAAUUGUUGCAAUCAGUAGUUAUUAGAGAUUCCUAUGUAGCAAUUAUAUGUGAAUUCAUUUGUCCUCGAUGGAAAACUAGAAUAAGUAGUUUCGAGAUAAAAGAUGUGUACAAGUUGAAGACAAAUCUUAAUGGAUUGAUACAAGCACCUAUAUUGAUGGGUUCCUACUUCAACAAAUUUAUAUUUUAAGAGCUCAACAAUUAAUCAUAAGUUGAUUAUGUACACUUUAUGUUGAUGACGAGAUCAUAAAUGGGAAUGGUGAACUUGAGAAGAAUAAAUUCAUGAAAUACUCGAUGAAUGAGUUUAAGAUGUAUCAUCUUAAAGCCUUGUCAUACAAUAGAAAGAGUACUAGUGCAUCAAAAUAUAUAUGCAAAAGAUGUAAUCGCAUGGUGAUAUAAGAGAAUUCUUGCUAUUGUUGAUCAAAUUUUAUUUAUUUUGGAUGUCUUUUUUGUCCACUCAAUUAAAAGGAAUUGUAUUCUUGCGAACUUGCUAAAGCAAUUUCUAUUUAUAUUCUUAAGAUAUUAAUAUUUAUUCCAAGAUAAAGGCAUCCAAUUCCAAAUAUAGUGUACAUGUUACCAGUGGCGGAACUUACUGCUUUUGUAUUUAGCUAAAGCUUAUUUGAUGUAGAUUCUUAAGUCUGAGACGAUCUUUCAUCUCAUUAUAUGUUCCAAUUCAUUUUGAAGACAACACAAUUUGGGUUAUACUAAACUAAUUCAUAUGAAGGAGAAGUGAUCAAUACAGUAACUGAAAAUUAAAAAACUAAUUCACUAUCGAUGGAGAUGUGAGUUAAUUGAUGAAUUAACUAAAAAAUUAUGUCCUAACAAAAUAAUGGUUUAAAAAUUAUGCAUGAGAGUAUACAACAAAAUAAUGAUUUUUAAUUCCGCAUGAAAUUAAAAAAUUAUGUCACAACAAAAUAAUGGUUUAAAUGUAUCAUCUUAAAUCAUAGAAUGAAAGUAUACAUAUCAUCUUAAUCCUGCAUGUCAAACAAAAUAUAUCAAACAUUAUCUUUUUGGUUAAUCCAACGGUUGCAUUAUGAAAGUUUGAACUAUACGGGUCUUAAGCCCAAUUAACACUUUUAAAAAUUUGUAUUAAAUAUUUUUUAAAUAAAAAUAAAUAAAAUAAUAAUUAAUUUAUGAAAAAAUAUUAAAUAAUAAAUUAUUCUAAUCAUCGUUGUCAACUCAUUAAAAAAAAUUCUAAUCAUUACUGUCACGUCUGUAAAAUUAGAGGAAGACCAACUAAAUCCUAAAUGAUAUAAAAUUCAGGGGCCAAAAAGCUGGUUUUUAAAAUAGAUUGACUAAAAAUAUUAAAAAAAACAUCGAAGUAGGGGACCAAAAGUGCAUUUAAACUUUUUUUAUAAGUGUUUUUGGACUUUUCACACGUAUUAAGAAAAUAAUCAUUGUUGCAUGUCAAAGAGAAAUUACGAAGGAUUUUACAAUAUUGUCUUUUAUUAAUUGCAAAGGAAAUAUAAAUUUAAAUAAUUGAAAGAAAAUAUGAUAAUAAAUACUUAAAGGUGUAAUAGAGAAUAACAUUAAUGAUUUUUUAAUAUUGAAAAAUGAAUUAUAUUUUGAUACAAUUUUUUCUCCAAAGAGACGGAUGAAGUAAUGAAUAAUUAAUGUAGAGAUAUUUUUGGAAUAAAGAUAUUAAAUAAGUUGAUAUUUGUUUAUAUUUAAGAUCAAAUAUUUUUUUCUUAUAAAUAAGGUCGGGGUACUAUUAUAGGAGUACUUUCUCUAUUCUAAAUUAUAAGACAUUUUAGAUAUUUCACACGAAUUAAAAAAUAUAAUUAAUUUUGUAAGAAAAAGAUAAAUUAUGUAUGAUUUUACAAUAUUGUCGAUAAUUUGUUAUAUAUGCUUCAUUUAUUAUAUAUGAAGGAAAAAGUCAAAGAAUUUGAAAAAGAAAUAUUAAUAAAUGAUAAAGAGUAUCUUAAAAAAAUACAUAAUUAAUGUUGCAUUGGAAUUAUAAAGUAACUUACUCAUUCCAUCUUAAAAUAAAAAUCUUUUAAGGUUGUUACAUACAAAUUAAGAAAACUAAUGAUUGAAUAAAUAAAUAUAACAAUUUUAAAAAAUUGUCUUUAAUUAAUAUUGGUUGUCAUAAAUACAUAGUAUGGUUUAAUAACUCGAAUGUAAUAUAGACAAUAUUUAUAACACGUAAAGUUGAUAAAAAUUAAUUAAUAUUAUAUUGAAAAAGUAAAGAGACUUUUAUUUUGAAAUAAGAUUUUCUUAGGAAAACACUUACUUUAGGACAAAGCAGUAUAAUUGAGAAAUUUUUUUUAACAUAUUGACUUAUAUUUUGGGACAGAUAGAGUAAUAUUUUUAGUUAUAUUUAUGGAUCAACUAUCAACAUUAAAUUGUUUAAAAUUAAAUCAAUGGUAUAAUAGGAACACAAGUAUUAAUUAGUUUUAAAAUGAUUGAAUUUUAAUUGUAAUAGUGAUCAAGAUUUAAGAUCAUAUUUUUGCUUAUAAUAAUGACACGAGCGAGUAUAUAUUUGGAAUUAAAAAAUUAAAAGAAUCAAGUUAAUUUUUUUAAAAUAUUUUUUAAAAAAAAAGAUUGUUUUUUUCUUAUAUUUUGUUCUGACGUAUUUCCAGGAUCCCUUAUUUUCUUGUUAUCUGAUGUAUUUUCAAAUAUUCUUUUGUAAUUUUGAUGCAUUUCAAGAGUUUUUUUCUUUUACCCUCUGAUGAAUUUCUAGAUGCGCCUUAUCCCUACCUAAUGUAUUUUCAAAUAUUCCAUUAUCAUUCAGACAUAUUUCCAUCAUUUGUUUUUUUUAUCCGAUGAAUUACCACAUACGAAUGUUGAGUUCUGAGGUAUUUUCAGAAUCUAUCCAUUUUAUUUCCGGAUUAUUUCAUUUAUAUCUCUAAUGUAUUUUCAGAUUAAGUGUUAUGUUCUGAGGUAUUUCUAGAACCUAUCUGAUGUAUUUUUGGAUUUAUGUCAUUAUCUUUAUAAUAUAUUUCCAGAACAUACUUUUAAUAUUUUCUAGUGUCUUUUAUUCAUCAAAUUGUCAUCCCCAGUGAGUCUUCACCUCCAUUGUCUUUUUCAUUCCCUGUGGAUCGCUGUUACAUUUUUCCAUCAUUAUCCACGGGUCCAUUAUCCUUUUGUUCCUCAUCCAUCAUAAAAUCCCCGUGCUAUGAUUCAUCUCAUACCACAUCAUAUUCCUAGCAAACAAAAAUGAAGAAAAAAAAGAGUUUAUGAUGCAUUCAUAACAUUUCAUAAAGGGACAAAAUUUGGAUCCUUUAAUAUUUAACUAUCUCUCACCGCGAUCAUAUGAAGAGUGUCCAUAUUCAUAUUCUUUGGUCGAAGAUACUUAAAUAGGGAAACUGUCAUACUCCAAUUUUUUUUCUCUCAUUCAAUAAAUUGAUGCAUACAUCAUGAUAUUUGCAUCACCUGCCUAGCAUAAUAUGCAUUUCAUCUUACAUAAUGCUUAAAAUGUCAAUCAAAAUAAAUUUUCGAAUAUACAAUUCUCAAAUGUACAUAAAAUUAGCGAGCAAAAUUUUUUGAAAUCAAACUUGUAAACAUCAAUUUUAUUAAUCUACGGUUCGCAUAGUUCAACCUGUCGUUCUCGUUUUAUUUUUUCGACUCCUUUUUUGUCGCAUUUUGAUCAGGUUUAGCAUUUUAACCUAUCAUUUUUUACUUUAAAAUUUGAUCAAAACCUAAUCAUUUUCUAGAAGUUUAUUUCAGGCUGUUUAUUUUAGUCCAUUCAUUUUAAUUUUUCGACCAUUUUUGUGUCAAUUUUUAUUCAUGUUGAGUCCUUUUAUUUUUGUCAAAAUGUUUUCAUUUCGAUUUCAUUGUAAUUAUUUUUAAGUGUUUGAUUUUUAUUUUGCUUAAUUAGUUUUAAUUCAAUUUAUCUCUUAAAAAUAUAUAAAGGGCAUUGUGGAAAUAUUUGAUUUUUAAAAAACCCUAGUGUAGUUAUUAUAUAUAAAAUCACCAAUGACCAGUGGAGAGAGGGAGAAGCAGCGGCAUAUCAUCUCCUUUACUAGUCUCGUCAUCUCUCAAAAUGAGUUAUGAUGAAACCUUUUUUUUCUUGGCAACAUUAUAGUUCCUCUUGUAUUCAUUAAAUGCAUGAAUCUCUUCUCUCAAAUAAAAAGACAAGAGAAUCAUGAACAAAAAGAAAAAAGAAAAGUGCAUAAAACUAAAGGCUUGGUGUUUCACUAUUCAUGUUCUUCUUCAACAAACAUAUAGCUCCUUCACGCCACCUUUCUUCAUUUCUCACCAUCAACAACAAUAAUCUUCAUGUAAAAACUUCUACACACCACUUAAAACCUCAUAAAAAUCACACCAAACAACUUUAAGCAUCAACCUACACCACACUUUCAUGAAGAUCUCCAAGUCCUCUAACACAAACUUCAUAAUCUAUUCUAUUCAACCAACCUUCAUCAUCUCACUAAACUAAUCUUCUUCAACUCUCACACUCCAAAACCAUAAACAACACUGUUGGUGCAAAGGUAGAAUAAAAGAUGAAUAUUCUAUUAAGAGAAUGACGGCUACAAAAAGGAUUAAAAGUUACAAUGAUUGACCCCCUAUUUAUAAGCCUCUAACAAACUUAAAUAUGAAUCAAAUCUAAUAUUUAAAUCUAAUAUCUAACAAACUUAAAUAUGAAUCAAAUCUAAUAUUUAAAUCUAAUAUCUAACAAACUUAAAUAUGAAUUAAAUCUAAUAAUUAAUCUAAUCCAUCCCUUAAUUCAUAUUCCAUCAAAACUUGAACACCAAUUCCAUCCCUUAAUCUGAGAAAUUGAUCAGUCUUGAUAGUUUCGUCAGAACAUCUGCCAACUGCUUCUGAGUGCUGCAGUGUACAACUUCUAACACUCCCCUCUGAACUUGAUGUCUCAGAAAAUGAUACUUGGUCUCAAUGUGCUUGCUUCCCCAUGCAACACUGGGUUUCUGGCAAGAUUGAUUGCAGACUUGUUGUCAAUCAUCAGCUUCAGAGGUUUGUUUACUUUAAUCUUCAGAUCCUGCAAUAGAUUCAGAAUCCACACAGCUUGGCAUGCAGUAACAGCACCUGCAAUAUAUUCAGCUUCACAAGUUGACAACGCCGCAACAGGUUGCUUCUUGAACACCAAGAAAUGGGACCUCCCAGAAAUUUGAAUAAGUACCCAGACGUACUUCUUCUGUCAAAUCUGUCUCCACACCAAUCAGAAUCUGAAUAACUCAGAAGUUCUGACUCAUCCUUUCUUCCAGAAGAAAUAAUACUCCAUACUUCAGAGUUCCCUUGAUAUACCUCAGAAUCCUGACAGCAGCUUGGUAAUGGGACCACUUAGGUUUACUCAUAGAACCUACUAACCAUCCCAACUGAAUAGCAAUAUCAGGUCUGGUAUUGCACAAAUACCUCAGAGAACCAACCAACUGUUGAAGGUUGUAGCGUCCACAUCCUUCCAUCAGAGUCAGAAUCCAGUUUCUGAUUUGUAUCAGAUGGUGUGACAGCAAUCUUACAAUUCUUCAAUUCAAAUCUCUUCAGAAGUUCUAAUUCAUACUUGAGCUGAUGCAAAAUAAUACCUUUCUCAGAGUAUCUGAAUUCCAUCCCUAGAAAGUAUGUCAUUUUGCCUAGAUCAGUCAUUUCGAAUUCAUUCAUCAGAACUUUCUUGAACUUGGCUAUCUCCUGUUCAGAACUUCCAGUCAAGCAGUAUAUCAUCAACAUAUAAACAUACCAGAGUCAUAUUUCCUUCAGAAGUAUGUUGAACAUAGACACACGUACUCCAUCUCACAUUUCUGAAAGCCUUGCUUCUUGAAAAAGAAUCAAUCUUCUUAUUCCAAGCUCUGGGCGCUUGUUUCAAUCCAUAUAGAGCUUUGUAUAAUCUGUACACCAUCCCUUCCUGAUUCUUUUUCACAAAUCCAGGAGGUUGUGACCCGUAAACUUCUUCUUCUAAUGGACCAUUCAGAAAUGCAGAUUUUACAUCUAAAUGCAUCAGAGGCCAAUUCCUGUUAGAAGCUAUUGCAAUCACCAUUCUGAUUGUUUCAUGUCUUGCUACAGGUGCAAACACUUCAGAGUAAUCCAACCCAGUUUUCUGUUAGAAAUCCUCUGGCUACCACCUUGCUUUAUGUUUGCCAAUUGAACCAUCUGGCUUUAACUUCUGCUUGAAAACUCAUCUGACGCUGAUGGCUUUCUUGUCUUUUGGAAGUUCUGUCAGCUUCCAAGUCUUGUUUCUCUCUAUAGCAUCAAGUUCUUCUUUCAUGGCCUUCAACCAGAGCUUCUGCUUAAGAGCCUCUUCUGUACUUAUGGGUUCAGAGUCUACUAACAUGGCACACUGAAUAACUUCUCCUUCAGAGUCUACUUCAGUGUCUUGCAGCAUGUCAAAUUCUGCAUAUCUCUGGGGAUGUUUCUGACUCUUUGUGGUCUCUGAACUUGUUCAGAGUCUUCAACUUCAGAGUUUCUACCUUCAGAUGGUUGACUUCCUCCAGAGCUUUGACCAUCUCAGGGGCUGGCAUAUUUCUAGAGUCUGAAUUGCCACUAGAAUCUGGAUUACCAUCAGAGUCUGGGUCAUCAGAGUCUGGAUCAUCAGAGUCUGAAACAUCAGAGUCUGGAACAUCAGAGUCUGGAACAUCAGAUUCUGGAUCACUAUCAGAGUCAGAAUCAACGUCAGAGUUUACUCCAACCUCAGAAAUUCUGAACUCUGACCUUUCUUCAGAAGUUCUAACAUCAGAAUCAGAUUGAGACUUUUCCUCCAAUUCCAAACUUCUGAUUCCUUCACAAUCACACUCUGCUGAAUUCAAUUUUAUUGGUUUCUGGACAAUAGAGCUUGUAUGCACCUGUACUGUGGUACCCUAUCAGAAUCAUCACUUUGCUUCUAUCAUCCAGCUUCUGUCUUCUGGCUUCUGGAACAUGUUUAUAGCAAACAGAACCAAACACCUUCAGAUGACUAACACUUUGCUUAUCUCCAGUCCACUUCUGUAUUGGAACUAUUCCUUCAACUUCUUCGUAGGACAUCGGUUGAGUACAUACGUUGCAGUGGCAACAGCUUCUCCCAGAGCUUCUGAGGAAGCUUUCUCCUUUAGCAUGCUUCUCACCAUAUCAAGCAAAGUGCGGUUUCUUCUUUCAGCAAGACCAUUGUGUUGAGGGGUAUAAGGAGCAGUAACCUCAUGCUCAAUUCCAUUCUCCUCACAGAACUUCUGGAACUCUUUGGAGUUAUACUCACCUCCACCGUCAGUUCUAAGAAUCUUCAACUUCUGACCACUCUGAUUCUCAGCCUUCAUUCUGAACUUCUUGAAUUCAUCAAACACCUCGUGUUUAAACUUAAUAAGGAUACCCAUGUCAUCUUGUGAAUUCAUCAACAAAUAACACAAAGUAUUUAUUCCCUCCAAUCGAUGCUACUGGAAAUGGACCACAACACAUCAGAAUGUACAACUCCCAAGGCAUGUUUUGCUCUUGGAGCAGUUUCUGACGCAAAUGGCAAUCGUGGUUGUUUUCCUUCCAUGCAAACUUUGCAUGACUUUUCAGGCUUCUUAAUUACAGGAAUUCCAUGUACCAACUUCUUUGAAUUCAGAUGUUUUAAGCUUCUGAAAUUCAAGUGACCAAAUCUUCUGUGCCACAGCUCACUCUCCUUCUCAGCACUUGUUGCCUAAGACAUUCUGAGUCUGCAGUUCUGACAUUCACCUUGAAUGUUCUAUCCUUCCCUGUUCUGACUCCAUAAUCAACUUCUGAUUGCAGUCAUACAGCUUCAGAAGAUUGUCCUUCAUGGUAACUGAGAAACCUUUCUCAAUUAAUUGUCCCACACUCAUCAGAUUGCUUCUGAUGCCAGGUACAUACCACACGUUCUGAAUCAAUGCUGUUUUCCCAUUGUUCAGAAUCACUCUGACAUUUCCCAUACCUUCUGCAUUAAGAUAUUUGUCAUCAGCACAUCUGAUCUUUGUUCUCUUUUCAGAGUCAAAGUCAACCAGCCAUUUCUUGUUUCCAGUAAGAUGAUUUGAACAGCCAGUGUCCAUACCACCAGCUCAUCAGAUCCAUAUCAUCAGAUUCAGAGGCCAUCAAUGCACAGAUUCGUCAUCAGAACUUCUGGCUAUAUUUGCUUCUUCUGAUUUUCUCUCCUUGUUUGACCAACAGUCUCUAGCAAAAUGACCGAACUUCUUACAGCAGUAACAUUGGAUUUUCUUCUUGUCAUACUUCUCUUUUCCCUUCUGAGCAUUCUUUUGUCUAUCAGAGGUUGAGCUUUCUGACUUCUGACCACCAUCAGAUCUUCUCCUGGCUUCUGACUGCUUCUGAUACUCCUAUUAGAAGUUGCUUUCAGAGCCUGCUGCUCUACUUCCCUUUCAGAAGUUCUCUCAGUUAAACGCAACUCUUGCGCUUCUAGACUGCUCUGCAGCUCUUCAAUCUCAUGGUGCUCAGAUCUUUGGAAUGUUCUAUUGCUACCACAAUGUAAUCAAAUUGACAGGUAAGGAUCUCAAUACCUUCUCCAUGAUUGUUUCUCAGAAAGAGUUUCUCCACACGCUUUCAUCUCAUUAGUGAUCAGAAUCAUCUGGAGAUGUAUUCAGAAACUUUCUCAUUAUUCUUCAUGUUGAGAUUUUCAUAUUGCUUUCUCAAGGACUGAAGCUUCACCUUCUUCACUGAUGCGUCACCACCAUAACAUCUAACCAGUGUGUCCCACGCAGCCUUUGCUGUCGUUGAAUCUGCAAUCUUCUCAAACACAUUUACAUCAACACAUUGAUGAAUGAAGAACAAUGCUUCUGAUCCUUCUUCCUUACUUCCUUCUCGCGCGUUUUCUGUUCAUCCGUUGCAUCUGCUGCUACCGGAAUAUAACCAUCAGUGACAAGAUCUAGAACAUCUUGAGCACCGAACAGUACACGCAUUUGGAUCAUCCAACGAUUCCAGUUUUUACCGUCAAAUACUGGAAGUUUGGUGUUCAUGUUGCCGUUUCCGUCAUCUUUCUACCUUGCACAGUACACUCAGAUUUCUCACACAGUGUUUCCAACCCCAGAAUUAAAAUUCUGAUCAGAUUUUGUUCAAGAUUCAACACGAAUCUAAGAAUCAAAUCAAACACACAAGACCUCACGUUCACUCGUGUUUCCCGUGUUUCCCAAUGAAUCCGAACCGGAGCUCUAGAUAUCAAUUGUUGGUGCAAAGGUAGAAUAAAGAUGAAUAUUCUUUAAGAGAAUGACGGCUACAAAAAGGAUUAAAGUUACAAUGAUUGACACCCUAUUUAUAAGCCUCUAACAAACUGAAAAUAUGAAUCAAAUCUAAUAUUUAAAUCUAAUAUCUAACAAACUUAAAUAUGAAUCAAAUCUAAUAUUUAAAUCUAAUAUCUAACAAACUUAAAUAUGAAUUAAAUCUAAUAAUUAAAUCUAAUAAACACCUCCCACUUUCCAUAUUCAUCUUCAUUUUCAUCACAACAUUUCUACCAUGAAAACCACUAACUUCAUACAUAUCAUUAGAAAGCACACAUAGCAACAAUAACAAAACACAAACAAAAAGAAAGAGAAACAACUCGAAAAUGGAAUCGUGAGCUGAAACGGAGGAAGAGGAAGGCAAUAUACUCGAGCUUCUUUGAAAUCGGCUAAACAAUCACAACAGCGCCACUGUUUAUCACGAGAGAGAGCUAAUUUUUUUUUCUUUUAGUCCUUUAUAGUGCCACGUGUGAUAAUCUAAAUGGCUACAUUUUAAUUUUUGAAAAAAAAUGAGAAAUUAGGCUCUCUGUUUGAAAUCCGCCGCCCCUGUUUAAGUUUUUAGUUGUUCAUUUUUUAUAUAUUUGAUUUAUUAUUUGUAUUAGGUUAGAAAUUGACUUUGGGGUUCUGCUAUUUUUUUUGAUUUUUUUUAAAUAAUUAUAAUUUUUUUUAAAAAUUCUAAAAUAAUUAUUUUUAAAAAAAAAUCCAAAAUAACCACCUUUCAAAACAGAUGCGUCAGAUGAACUGGCGCAUCCAUUUUGAACCAAGAGGAGGCGCCAGCUUUAGUGGCGCAUGCAUUGGAUGUCUCAUGAAGAGGCGCCAAUGCCUCUGGCACAUGCUUAUUGCAUGUGGUGUAUGCGUCAAUUCAUCUGGCACAUACACCCUUGUAUUGGUAUUAUUAUUUUUUAUUUUAUUUUUUUUAUCAAAUGGUAAAAAAUAAUGUAAAAAAAAAUUAUUCAUAAUAUAAUAAAUGUUACAUGGGAUUGACAAAAAUGUAAUGACCGACCUUAUCGAAACGUCCCCCUGUUCCACAUCCAGAUGUGUUAGUUUGUCUUCGAGGUCUCUCACGAUUUUCCUGAGGUGUUUAGGACCUUUGUGUGUUGACCUGAUCGAAUGAUGGCUAGUGUGAAGGUCCGACGGAAAUUCCAAUGGUAUUUGAUAGAUGUGUCAUCAUUUGUUCCCAAUAUCCUGAGGGUUCUGGCCAACGGCGCUUCCGUAAUGGAGUUUGGUGCUCAUGUCAUCGUAGUUAGAUUGAUGGGAUUGGGUGGGUUGUGGACGGUAUAGUUGCCUGAAUUUGGACAUUGAAUCGUUUUCGAAACGAAGCAAUGGUUCUUGGGGUGUACUAUAGUUAAACAAUGUUUGUGUGUUUUGAUGAUGGGAUGUUUGAGUGGUCAUUGGUGGGGGGCUACGAUGAAGUGACUCAUAUGAAUCAUCUAGGCUAUAGACAGUUGUGGUAGAAGCGUAUGGUUGUUGGUGGAUAGGGUUUGAUUCUUGGUUUUGUGGUUGGGUGAGUGACAUGAAUGGAUUGCAACGUUGGGUGUUUGGUUGUUGGGUGGAUGACAUGAAUGGGUUGCGAAGUUGGUUGUUUGAUUGUUGGGUGUAUGUGGUAGGUUGAUGGUGUGAGGUUGUUUGUUGGGUUUGGGUGGUUUGACAUUGGUGUUGGACGGAGAUUUGUUGUUGGGUGUACAAUGACGAAACUAGUUGGCAUGGAUCAAUCAAAUAUCGCGGCUCAGACACAAAUUGUUGCGUUGUCACCGACCUAAACCAUGCCAUAUAUUAUUGAGUUGGUCUUGCCAGGGACAGGGAGGUAUAUCAGUAUGGGGGCAUGUGCCCCCACUAAAUUUUUGUAAAAACAAACUUUAAUAAUAUAUAUAUAUAUUAUAUAUAUAUAUAAUAUAUAUUAAUAUAUAUAUAUAUAUAUAUAUAUAUACUAUAUAUAUAUAUAUAUAUAAAAUUUUAUCAAAACAAUAUAUUUAACCAAAAUUAUAUAUAUUAAAUUAAUUAAAAUAAUAAUAUUAUUAUAAAGAUAUUAUUAAAAAUUAGGUAAAAAUAAUAAAAUAUAUAAAUAUUGUCCAAAAGUUAAUGUGAGUUUUUUUAUUUUCAAUAACUAAAUCAAAAUGUGUCAGAUUAAAUAUAUUUGAAUUUUUUUUAUAAUAUCAAAAUAGUUUUUCUCUAAACCUUAAAAAAAAUUGAUUUAUAAGAUUUUAUAUUAAUGUUAUGAUCUCAUAAAAAAUGCAUAAAAAAAUAUUUUUCUUGAUAAUAAAAUUUAGAAAAUUACAAAAUUAAAAAAUUAAAAAAAUUAUUAAAUAUUUUUUUUGAGAUAAAUUUUAUUAAAAAAUAAAUAUAAUAUAUAUUUAUGAUUUAAAAAUAAAUAAAAACAAACUUAUAUAUUAAUAUAUUGCUCCCACAAUUCAAAAUUUCUGGCUCUGUCCCUGGAUCUUGCACCAUGGAUGACUGGUUCGUUUAAGAUGUGUUGCCGUUGAUUCCUCCAUUGACGACACAUCUCUUUUGCAAAGUCUCUCUAGUCAGAAUAAUCCCAUUGGGCAUCAACUCUUUUUUUAUGCCAAAUCUUCAAACACGUCGGAGGUCCUGGAAUUUGUUGUUGCAUGCCGGACUGCAGUCUUACCCGGUCACUUUGGUGCAUUUCCACAAUAAUGAACCGGAUAAUUGGUGUCUUUGUUGUCCAAACUGAAGCAUCGUCAUGGUUAACCUGAUGAUCAAGACCCAGAUAUGGCCUCCAGAUAAACUGUACAAUAAUACGCACGAUUAGAUGAUAAAUAAUUUGAUAAAUAUUUUUAAAUUAAAAUAGAGUUGUGUAGGAUUAUUACAUCAUCUGGUCCAAUAGAUUGCGAUAGACUAUUAUAUCGUGUUUCAGACACUUAUUGUAGUUCAUCCCCCUUACUGACCACCUAGAUAAAAAAAUGAAAAAUAUCAUUUACAGUUAAUUGUAAUGUAAAGUAUAAUUAAUUAAAUGAUAAAGUGUUAAACUUACUUUGUUGCAAACGGGAACAUGAAUGGAUUCUCGUUUACCGGGGCGAGUGACGACAUUCUUGACCAACCUCAUGCUUGUAGCAAAUACGCACAUGAAUAAAACGUACACGUAUUUUUUUUGGCAUUUUUACACAUUGCACUAUAUAGAUGGACCAACACAGCUGAACCCUAACUAUAUAUGCUUACCUUAUUAAUGUUGCGUAACAACGGUAAAUACAUAAUAUUUACUGAAUUAUCUGUACUUUCUAAAAAUAAAAAAUUACCAAAUAAAAUCAUAAUAUAAUACCGAGCUUUAAUUAUUUUUUCGUACUCGGUUGAUUCUUUGGACAAUAUUAUACUCGCAUAGUAUUAUUUAAGAUAUUUUAAAUUUAUACCUUGCCCCCUAGCUUGACCGAAUGACUCUCCCUCAAUUUGGUCGACACACCCGCAUUCGAACCGAAAUGGAUACGGCGAACAAAAUGGUUAGAUUAUGUAGUUCAUGUCAUUAGACAGGUCACAAUCGUACUAACUAUCCUAGUGUUGGAACGAGCACAACCAGAUAAAUUCACAUGUACGUUUGUUGCAAUAUAUGAAAAACUAAAUUUAUUUCAUAUUAUAAGUUUGUAAGGAAAUAUCAUUACAUAAACAUCAACGCAAGCAAUUAAAACAACUACAAUACAAUAAUUAAGCGAUUACAACCAUCAAAACAGUUUUGAACAUGUAAUGCAUCAUCCUAUGAACGUCUUGGUCAGUCUUAAUAUUCAUCCAUUCACGCACUUCUCCAUUUUGGUUGAACGUGGACACAAGCCAUUGGAUUCUUCUAAUCCUUUCAUCAUCCCCAGUUUCUCCAUUUAACCAAAUGUUCAACGUCUGAUUAAGAAGUUUAAAUAAAUCUAUAUUCCAACGCCGAAUCUUUAUCGGAGAUGCAACGACGGAAAAUAUUAAAUCAAUAUUCCGCUUAUGAAUGUAUUCAGACAUGAUUAAAACUCAAAAAUUUGAAGGAGAGUGAAGUUAAAUGAAAGAAAAUAUGGUUGUAGGGUAAGAUUUGUGUGAAAAAUAUUGCAUACAAGGCGAAGUAUUUAUACAAAAGAGAUAGAAAAUGCAUGCGAUAAGAGGCUAGGCACCUGACAUGUCAAGACAUGUAGGCACCAGAGGCAUUGGCACCUCUUCAUGAGCCAAAAUGCAGGCGCCAUAGGCAUUGGCGUCUCUUCAUGAGGCUUCCAAUGCAGGCGCCAGAGGCAUUAGUGCCUCUUCAUGAUGGAAAAUGGAUGCCCCAGUUCAUCUGGCGCAUCUGUUUUAAAAGGUUGUUAUUUUGGGGGAAAAUUGAAAAAAUGGUUAAUUUGGAAUUUAUUUUGAAAAUUAUGGUUAUUUCAAAAAAAAAAUCGGUCUACUUUCUCCCCAUGCGGAUGCAUUUUGCUGUAUUUGUGUUAUCCCAAUACAUGCAGAUUCUUUUUUCCCCCAUCCGAGUCUUUCCAUUGAUUUAUUUUCAUGGAAAUCCCCUCUUGUCUCCAGCAGUUUUUAAGUCGUAGCCUGGCCUACGCAUAACUUUUAUCCCUAGAGUCCCUGUCUCUCCAAUGAGUUUUCCUUAUGGAAUGCAUUGUGCUCCUGUGAACUUUCGAUAUCUCUGAAUUCUUUUCCUUUGUGGCAAUAUCUUCCCCACAAAGAUUAUUUUUGCAUUCAUAUCAUAUGCAUCAUGAGGUCUCUUAGGGACCAAAAUUUGUUUCUUGAUGUUGUUAUUUAAGUCCAUUCUACCGAGUUGAUAUGAAGAUUUUAACUUUCAUAUCCUUAGCUAGAAUUUCCUAAAAUAGGGGCAGAUGUAACACCCUAAUUUUGACCCUAAGAUCCCUCAUAUCAUCUCAUCAUUUGCAUUGGCUUUGGGAUCACACCUUGGUAUUAUCCUCAUCCCUCAUUCAUUGAGUUUGCAUUGGGAGAGAUCACCAAGCAUAUUUGAUUGUAUCAUACUUUACUUUCUUUGUUUACUAACAAAAACAUAAAAAAUAUGCCUAGUAUGGUGUGUGCAUCCACCUGUGCCUUAUCAAGCUCACAUCUAGGGUUUGAGACCCUCAAUGCAAGGGAGUCAAGUUAUCAAAGGUUCACAAUGGUUCUAAGCAUCAUAUAUGGGUCCCCCAUGCUCUUUAAUUGUCAUUUUGAUCAAGAAUUCGUCAAGAGUUUGAAGCUUGUUUGCCUUGGAAGCCUUAAUUCAUCUAGGUAUCUUGUGUGUCUUCCUCAGCAAGUUUCUUUAACAAUUGGUAAAAAAUAUCAAGGGAUACUUCAUUUUACUUUAUCUUAAGCCUAUGUGAUUCUCCAUGAGCCCCAAAGAGCAAAGGAACUUUAAGUUUGCAAGUUUGUUCAAAGAGGUUGACCAGAGAAAGUCAACUAGUCAAAUCUAGGGUUCCCUAAACCCUAUAUCCUACAUUUUUUUCAUAUUAAAAUGAUUCCAAGAUGAAAGUUACUCUUUAUGACAUUCCAAACAACUUUUGUGUUGGCAUCAAGAGUUAAUUUUGCUUGGAAAAUCAUUUUUUAUGGUGAAAGAUUAUAGGUCAUUUUGUAUGUGCCAUAGAUAGAAGGUCAACUUCCAAGAACCAUAACUUGCUCAAUAUUUAUGAUAUUAAUACCAUCCAAGUUUCAUGAUUAAUUUCAAGAUGUCUUCUCCAACUUUUCUUCUUUGAUAAAGUUCAAGUUUCACUUUCAAGGGCGUGUACUAAGAGGAAAUAUUAUAGGUCAUUUUGGGCCAUCAUCAUUGAACAAACAAUUUUCCUCAACUUCUAAAAUACAUAACUCCCUCAUGAAAUAUUCAAAUGGGGUCAAAUUUGUGACCAAAUUUAAUAGUAUUUAAAUAUCUAUAACUUUUAAGAAGGAACCAAAGUCAUUUGAAUCUCAUAGCAAAAGUUAUCCAAGGUGGAAAAAAUGGUCAUUUGACUUUUAACUUAGAAAAUUUUCAACUAUGUUUGAUUCCUCCAACUUCCACAUCAAAAUUCAUCAUGAUCCAAGUUCCAAAUGGACAAAAUUUCAACAUAAAAGUUAUUCCCCUUCAUGCUAGCUUUCCAAAGAGUCCAAGAUCAUGGCAUUUGGAUUAUUUUUUAGGGACUUGCGCAUGGGUGUAAUGCAUGGCCCUAUUUGGAAACAUUUGUGAUCAAUUUUCAACCAACAGUGCAUGGCCUCAUGUAUUGAUUUCAGCAUCACUUGUGCACGAUUUUGGACUCAUCUCAAUCAUUCUUUGGACCUUGUUGCAUGGCUAUGCAACCAUGCACAAGAGUUACUAUUUUUGAUAUAUUUUUGGAAGUGUAUGGAAAUGAAUCUUUAAACCUAUAAAUACAAGUCAUUUUGCUCAGAAUUAAGGACCCUUGGCCCAAGAUUUGAUUUGCAAUCUCUCCCACCCUCCAUUGAUAGAACACCUUCAGGAUUUCUCUUGAAAUCAAGUUUUAAUUCUCCUUCUGUUUUGGGAUUGAAACUCCAAGGGUUAAAGCUUUUUUUGCAUCCAAAUCAUCUCCUGCAAGUUGGUAGAAGCAAGGCAAAGUAAAUUGGAAGAGAGAUCGAGCUUCAUUAGUGCAAACAGAAGGUGAUUUUUAGAAACUUUCCUUCUUCGAUUCUCCCUCAACUCUCCAUCAUUUUACUUGAUUUUUGGUUGGCUGAUACCAAUGUAGGCAACAAGAUUGAGUUGCUUUUAGGUCAAAUCAAAGCAACUCAGUUCAUCCACCUCAUUUUUCAAUUACACAUAUCUCUCUAUAUAGUGAGAAUUGGAAGGAAAAAAAAGGUCAAAUUCGUGUUCUCCGUCAUUUUCUCUUUAAAUUGGUAUAUGGAAUCUCCAAUUUUGGUGAACUUUGGAGGUGGACCAGUCCGGUGAGGUCCAUCGGAGAAGAUGACCGGAGUUAGGGCUCUGGUGCUGCGCUGGAACUUCUCAGGUCAUCUGAUCCUUGCCUUGUGUUCUAAUCUUGGCCAUUGGUUUGAAUUACCAUGUUUGCAACGCGUUUGAGUUGAGUGCAUGGUGGACACCGCGCACGUGGCCAUCAGAUCUGUCACCUCAAUUAACGAGGGAGAUCUGAUGCCCCUUGUUUUUUCUCAUUUAUUUUAAUUUCUGGUUUUAUUUUUAAAUAGCCUUAUUUUGUUUAAUUCAUAAUAAAUUCAUUUUUAAUCGAAAAAAUAUGGGACUUUCACCAAAAAUCUUUAAAUAUUUUCCUUUUCCAUAUUUUGAAUCAAAAUCAUUGUUUGGAUUAAGUUUGAUAUUUUUUGUGAAUUAAAUGUUUUUUGACUUGUUUUUAAAUAUUUUUAAAUACUUCUGACUUUCCAAAAUUCUCAAUUUUUUUGUCUAAAGUCAUUUGAUCUUGUUUGACCUAGGAUAAAUCCAUUGGACAUUUAUUUGGUGAUAUGAAGGGAUUUGAGGUUUUUCCCUUUUUAAAAUGCUUUUUAUUCCAUUUUAAAUUGAUUUUUAAUUGUUUAAAUGUUUAAAAAUAUUGUUGAGCCAUUUGGUUGAUCUUGUGUUGUUUCAUCUUCUAUUUGGCUUUGAUCAUGGUUGAUUUGAACUUCCAUUUGAUUAAUACUAUUGGAUUUAGAGGGUUGAUGAACUGUACACUUCAUCCCUUAAGAUGAAUGGAUAAUAUUGAUUAGAUGAAAUUCCUCCCUUGAUCAAUUUGGGUUUCUAUUUCUCUUUCCCUCUUCAUCUUCAUCCCUCUUCUUCCUCAACCCUUCUAUGACCAAUGAUUUCUCUAUAAAUCAAAUGCUAGUUGAUUCAUCAAUGACCUUGUGUCAGAUGAAUCAACAUGAGCUUGACUGAGAUAGGUUCACCCCAUUUUAUUUUUGUGUGUCGUAUGCUUUUGGAGCUUGGUUCUUUGUACCAUGUCUCUAGCAUGCAUUAACAUCAAUAUAUUUAUUGCCCGGCAUUAGAUAGUUGUGACUUCUACAAAAGUCCAAUUACAACUGCUUAACAUAGAGCUAAAUUUUGACCCAAAGGCAUAGCAUUCUUGUAAGUGAGAUUGUAAGUCUCCCAUUCUUAAUGGCAUUGUGUGAAGACUUGACCUUUUUUCCAUUUAUGAGAGCUAGUGGCAUACUUGUUAAUUUAUCCAAGUUGGAGCUCUUCUCAUAGAUGAUGUCUUGGUUCAUGUCUUCAUACUUGGGAAUGGAUGGUUGGGUGUUCUCCAAAGAAUGACUUAAACAAUUGAAUCCUCCACUAACAUUUCUUUAUCAUUGUUUUAUCUUUAAUGUUAUUUACUUAAUUCAAUUUAAAUUUUAGUACCUUUAUCAUUCAUUGCCACUUACAUUUCAUGCAAGAUGUUUAUGUUUCAAUCAUCUUCAUUUUGCUCACUUGAGUCAUAUCUUUGUAAUUGUAUAUAUUGUGUGCUUGUGAUUUUGUUAUGGUUCUGGUCUUAGGACCUUAAAAUACCUAAUAACAAUAAAAACCCUAAAAAUUGUGUUGAUGGUCUGUUAGCCCUCUUCCUUUGACUUGAUCUGAACUUUUGGACUUAGAGUAGGCAACAUCCCCAUGCUUUGAAGGACUUGGCCAAUGCCAUUAUUUGAGACUGAGUUAUCUUGGCCAAUGCCAUUCAUCUGAGGAAAGCCUUGAGAUUUCCCUUGGUUUAUAUGUUACUCUGUCACUAUGCUUAAAUUGUUAUCUUGAUGUUAUUGUUUUUAUCUGAUGAUUGUUUCUAUGAGUUUGCCACGAGGAAUAUUUCAUCUGAUACAUUUGAAGACACUGAAGACUGCUCGCUUUUGGAAUGCUUGCUUGGAUUUUGUCUAUCUUUAUUUGAUGCCUUUUAUCUUCAUACUUAUUGAUCACAUGUUGCCUAUGCUUAUUGAUGCCAAAGGAAAUGGGUUUCUAUCUGACAUUCUUGUCUUGUGGAUUGCAUCUCAUUGGUCAGAUCUUUUCAACUCUAAACUUUUAAAUUUUUGUCUAGGAUAGUCUCUUCAUCUCCUUCUUUCCUUCUUAAAUUUUAAAAUCUCUCCCUCAUUUUAAAAACCGUCUUCGUUUGUGUUCUCAACUUAGACUUGUUUUAAUGAGUAGAAACUUUUUGCCUUAUGCCAUUGAUUUUCAAAACAUUUUCUUAAUCAAACUUGUAAAUAAACUUAAUCAUAUUGACUUAACUUUCAAAAAGACAAAAAGAACUAACAACUUCAUUUAAGUCUUUGGCCAUUUUGUGUCCUUUUCUUUUAAACUUUUGUUAAAAUUAAUCCACCAAUUUCUUUGAAAUUUUUACCACAAACUACGGGGUUUUGAUCCCUCAUUUUUAUGUUAGUACGUAGGCAUAAGACCGAAGGUCUUGUCAAACACAAAGGUAUAAUAAAUGAAUUCUUUUCUCAUCCCCCCAAUCUAUAUUUUAGCAAACAUUUUUUCAACCAAAAUACUUGCAUACAAAAAGGGCUCUCUAGGAGUACCUAGGGUACUUUGGAUGCUCAUACCUUCCCUCUAUAUAACCAACCCCCUUACUUGUAAUCUCUUACAUUUUUAUAGUUUUGAUCUGAAAACUUCUUAUCUUUAGGUUUUGUUCGUACUUUUCCCUUUUCCUUUGGAAACAAUAAAAGCGCGGUGGCGACUCUGAUUUUUUUGAGGUUGAGUUAUCCGUAGCUCAAUGGUCACGAAUACACCGCUAUACAAAGGUCUCAUCAAAAUCAACCCCUUCAAUUUGAGUGUAGCCUUGAUCAAUAAGCCUAGCCUUGUUUCGGGUCACAAUUCCAUUUUCAUCAGAUUUGUUCUUGUAAAUCCAUUUUGUGCCAAUAACGUUCAUCCCUUCAGACCUAGGAAAUAGGUCUCACACUUCAUUCCUUUUGAACUACCCUAGUUCUUCUUUCAUAGCAUUAAUCCAUAAUUCAUCAUUCAAGGCCUCCUUCACAUUUUUAGGUUCAAACUUUGAGACAAAACAAGCAUUGGACAUCACAUCUCUGGAUCUAGUGGUGAUCCCUUCAUUAAGAUUUCCAAUAAUAUGUUCCUUUGGAUGAUCUUUUUGAAUUCUGAUAGAGGCAACUUUGUUGGCUUGAGGGUUAUCUAAUUCAUUCAUUGUUGGCUCAAUGUUGGACUCAAUGUCUUCCAUAUUUUCUGAAGCAUUAGUUUGUUGAGAUGAUGUUCCAACAUCUUCAUUGAGAUCAGUCCCUUUCGCAAUAAUUGAAUAUCAACCACAACAUUGAUGGAUUCCAUCAUGACCUUGGUUCUGGAGUUAAAUAGUGUGUAAGCUAUGUUGUUUGUAUAGUAACCAAGAAAUAUCCCUUCAUCACUUUUGGAAUCCAUCUUUAUCCUUUGUUCACGAUCAACCAGAAUGUAGCAUUUACUCUCAAACACAUGAAAAUAUUUAACAAUAUGUUUCCUCCUUUCCAUAAUUUAUAGAGAGUGGAUGAUGUACCAGCUCUCAGAGUAACAUGAUUGUGGAUAUAGCAAGCAGUGUUCAUUGCUUCAGCCCUAAAAUUAUAAGGAAGAUUUUUUGCGUGAAGCAUGACUCUAGCUGAUUCUUGUAAUGUUUUGGUCUUGCGUUAUACAACUCCAUUUUGUUGAGGAAUGAUGGGAGAUGAGAACUCGUGACCAAUAACUUCAGAAGAACAAAAUUCAGACUCCUUGACAUGGUCACUUCCAAAGGUCUUUGAAUACCCCAAAAGUGACUGGUUUUUCUUUGAUAAAUUCACCUAAGUCAACCUUGAAAAAUCAUCGACAACCACAUACACAUACCUAUUUCCACCAAGACUUUCAACUAGCAUAAGCCCCCAUUAAGUCCAUAUGAAGAAGUUAUAAAACUUUUGAAGUAGUCUGAUGUUGCAACUUCGGGUGUGACAUCUUGGUUUGCUUCCCAAUUUGACACUCACCACAGACUUUACCCUCCUCAAUUUUGAGUUUUGGUAGAUCUCUAAUAGCUUCUUCAGACAUAAUUUUCUUCAUACCUUUGAGAUUCAUAUGUCCAAGCUUCUGGUGCCACAACUUGACUUCAUCUUCCCUAGACAUUAAACAUGUGGAAGAAGAAGUAGUUUCUUGAGGUACCCAUAAAUAGCAGUUGUCUUUAGGCCUAACUCCCCUCAUCAGAACUUCAUUUUUCUCAUUGGUAACCAAAUAUUUUGACUUGGUAAAAUUUACUUUUAGACCUUGAUCACCUAACUGGAUAAUGUUGAUCAAAUUAGCAGUUAAUCCUUUUACAAGAAGAAUAUCAUCAAGUCUAGGAAGUCCAAUACACACUAAAUUUCCUAUCCCUUUAAUUUCACAUUUACCUCCAUCACCAAAAGUAACAAAAUUGGUGGAAUAAGACUUAAUGUCCACUAAAUACUUCUUGACUCCUGUCAUAUGUCUAGAACAUCCAUUGUCAAAGUACCUGUCUUCGCUAGAUGAAGCUUUAAAAGAAGUGUGGGCUAUAAGACAAGUAUCAACAACCUUAGGUUUCCACUCCUUUCUAGUUUUAAUCAUCACAUGAUUAGCCAUAGGAUAUGUUGUAUGUUUUGGAUAACCAUAUAGUCUGUAACAUAAAGGCUUUAUAUGUCCAUAUUUACCACAGCAAUGACAUUUCCAAGGCAAAAACUUGACUUUAGUUUGAUUUUACUUAUGUCUGGUAGGAUGUUGUAACAUUUGGUCGGACAUCAUGGGCUCAUACUUCCUUUCUGGAGGAAUAAAUUUUGUCAUAAAGGUUUUUCCUUUCAGAUAUUGGUAAUCAAAACAUAUACCUUUUAAGUUUCCAUCACCUUUUCUAACUUGAAGAAUUUCAUGUAACAUAUCAGACCCAUUAUUCAACAUUUUUACUAAUUUGGUCAUAAUGUUAUCAAGUUUAGAAUUCAAUAGAGUUACCUCAUUUUCAAGAUCAGUGACAGUAGAUAAAAGUUUCUCUUCCGCUCUUCUCAUGUCUUACACACCUCUUCACUUCUGACAUAAAGCUCUUUGUAGGAAGCAGCCAAUUCUUCAUAAGUGAUAUCCUUAUCAUAGAAGUUUUCAUCAGGUUCAUAUUUACCAGUGAAGGCUGUAACAUGCUUAGCAGUUUCAUCAUCAGUUUCACCUUCAGAAUCAUCAUCAGACCAAGAAACAAAUAAGCUCUUCUUUUGUUUCUUGAGAUAUGUGGGACAUUAUGAUCUAAUGAGACCAAAACCCUCACAUCCAUGACACUAAAUAACUUUUCCUUGAUUGGGCUUUUCCUCUAUUCUUGCUUUUCUCUGAGAAUCACGGUUCUUAUUGAUGUCAAAUUGCAUCUUCUUGACAUUAGGUCUUGACUUCCUAUCCAUUUUCUUCAAUCCCUUAUUAAUUGCCUCCCAAGAAGCAUAGUGGAAUUAUAAAUUCCUUCAUCGGUCUCCAAGUCACAUUGAUCCUCUUCAUCCUCGGUGUUGGAGAAAAAAGUUAUGCUUUUGUUCUUCUUUUCAGAUCUAUCACUGAUAGCCAAUUCAAAAGUUUGAAGUGACCCAAUAAGCUCAUCCACUCUCAUGUUGCAAAUGUCUUGGGCUUCUUCAAUAGCUGUGACCUUUAUGCCAAACUUCUUAGGCAACGAUCUGAGAAUUUUUCUAACCAGCUUAUCCUUUGACAUCUUCUCUCCCAAGGCACUAGAUGAAUCGCCAAUGUCAAGAAUAUUCAUGUGAAAAUCAUGAAUGCACUCGUCAUCUUUCAUCCUGAGAUUUUCAAAUUUGUUAUCCGUAGAUUUUAGAAAAGUCACCAUACGCACCUUCUAGUAAUCAUAGUUGGUGUCAUCCAGAAUAGAUGGGUUGUUAACAAAUCCUUUUUCCUUGUCCAUAGUAACAGAAAAUAUCUUCCCUGGAGCUCACCCGAAACAAAACAAGGUGCAUGCUCUGAUGUAAAUUGAAAUUUUGGGACACAGAUAACAAAUGUCGUAUAUGAUGUCACGACACUAAGAUCAGGACAUUGUCACAACACAAACAAUUACAGUGUUAAAGUAAAUAGUAGGAAGUAAAUACCACAUGUCAAUUGUUAACCUAGUUCGUUGCAACGUCACCUGCAUCUGGGGGCAUCCAAGACAGGAAGGAAAUCCACUAUAAUAGUAUUAGUUUGAAGUUCUAAACAACCUCUGGUUGUACAAACUUCUCACCUAAUCACUACCCUUGGAAUUUCUAUCUAAGACUCCUAGAUAUGAGACCUUUUUCACUUCCCUUCGAUCACACAACAGUGAUAAUAACUUCCAAUAAUAAACAGAAGACACAUAUCCAAUAAAACAUAAUACACUCUUGCUUAAAAGCUCAUGAGUGAUUCACAAUUACAACUCAAAAACUCAAUCAAAUUCAAGCAUCUAAGUGAUACGAGAAUGACUCACAAAUAACAAUGAAAAAACUAAACCAUAACAGAGACUAUCACAUACGCAACUUAGUUGUUUUCUUAGGUUUAUAAUCGUCCUAUAAAUAGCCCCAAAAUAGCAUGGGCUCCGGGCUAAAUAAUCAGCAGAUCUAAAUUAGACUGUUGCACAAUCUUCUACAUAAUGAAAUCAAAUCAAAUCAAAUCGGAUGUCUCCUUAGAUGUUUUGUCAUCCUUUCUUGGGAAACAAGGCAAAGGUUAAACCGACAUUUGCUUCUAAAAUAAAUGCUUCUUGGACCACAAAAUAAGUGAAUCAAAUCUUCAAAGAAUCUUCACUAAUCUCAUGCUAAAAAAACAAAUCUUUCAAGAAUGUACAAACACAGCACGCCACGAUAUCGUACAAGUAUGUCAAGACAUCUUGUCCAACAUCUUGCUAUUUUACUUGUUUUAACAAAAUAUUGCCAAUCACAAUACAAACAACCUAAUAGACUUCAUAGAGUGUAUGCUAUAAGAGCAUACCUCUUAAAUUUGGUUGGCAUUGUGAUUUUUGUGGACAAGAGUGCCACUUGUGUGGAUGCCGUCUAUUUAUGAUACUUCGAGGAUUUUGAGGGGGUUCAUGAGUACAAUUGAGGGAUCAUUUGUUUAGUGUACUUAUAUUAUAAGUUAUCUGAAGGUUGAAGGUGGAAGAUAAAGCAAGUGACAAGCAGCAUCGCACUUUUGAAGGUAAUAUUUUUUUGUUUUUUAGUGUUUGUGUAUCAUUUUCAUUACAUUUUUACAACGCCCUUACUGAUGAUUCGUCUGUUCCAACAAUUUCCAGGCUUGGAUCCUCUAGCACGUCCCACGCAUCUCGGUUGGUUCUGUGUACCGACAUAUACUAAGGAUAUGUCGUGUGCGUCUACAUUUGCUCUGCUCAUAGGGAACUAGGAGAUAGAGUCGUUUCGAGGGUAUCUUGAUCACUUUGUAGCUAAGGAUAUGCACGUUAACAACUAUGUGAAUCACCGCGAGACGCAACCAUUUAACAACAUAGUGUUAUACUCUGGAUGGUUGACUUGCGGUUCACGUCUGACAUUUCCUCAUCUGCCUGAGUGCGUCAUGCGACAAUUCGGCUACAUCCACACUAUUCCUAGACACUCUUUUGUCUUUAUUCCUUCUGUUAUAACACAUAAAGAUAUGGAUGUCAUAUUUGAUUAUUAUCUUAGUCAUCUGAUACUGUAGGAGGCAUUAAGUACCAUAGCUGAGAGCGAUGUGGACGGGUACAUCAAUUGAUUCUUCAGAAUGUCGCGUUCAUAUAUGAUGCAGGUUGUUCCAGAAAAUCCACUGAGGUCAGCUCAUCAGAAGGUACUAGAGGAGGAGCAGGCAUAGUUAGAUCAUAUUCAUGAUAGAUGUCAUCACAUUGUGGAGAUUGCGCAGGAAUACAUUGACAGAUGUAUCUUUCCUUAUGGUUUUGAGAUGAAAGAGGUCCUAGAUGUCAUUAUGACGAAGGCACGAGAGACACUGAUGUACCGGAGACUGACAGUCGAAGAUCCCGAAGAGCUCUAGUCUAGCAUAUACUAUAGUUGAUAGUCCUUAUACUUUGAAUUUACUAUCGAUUGUAUUUUAUUUCGACUUUAUUGUGUAUUUCGACUUCAUUGUGUAUCGGCUUAGGACUUAUUUUGACCAUCUGGAUUUAUAAAUCUCAUUUUUUACAUAUCGAUAAUAUGGUUUAAUAUUCAUCACAUAACAGAUACCUUAACAUUUAUAAAUCAUCAUUUUUAUCUGAGUAACCAUAAAACUAAUUUAACUUACAAUGUUUUAAUAGGUUAUUGAGAUGCAUCACCGAAUCAAUAAAUAUUUAAAAUAGACCUUUUAAAAAUGAAUGCAUGGAAUAUUUUAAAACAUUUUAGAAAUGCAUCUAUAAAUAUUUUAACUUAAGAUAAUAUACUUCAUCCGUCUCAUAUUAUAAUAUAGAUCACCUGUCUCAUAUAUUAUAAUAUAGAUCAGAUACAUUAAUUAUUUAAUUAAUCUAAAAAAUAAAAUUUUCAUGAAAAUAUUUUACAACAUUUUAGAGAUGCAUCUAUAAACAUUUUGACUUAAGAUAACAUACUCCCUCCAUCUCAUAUUAUAAUAUAGAUCAGAAAAAAUAAAAUUUGCUAUAAUAUGGAAUAGAGGGAAUAUGUAUAGAAUAUUCAUCACAAAUUCCAUCUUAAAAUCUCUUCUUUACAAUAGCAACAGAUAAAAAAAUAUAUUUUAUAUAUACAAAAAAAUUAAUCUAUUAUUAAUUUAUUUGUAAAAUCGAAUACCGGGCAUAUCCUAUUUUCUCUAGUUAUAUUUUAUUCAUCCAAGUCCAUUAAUUAUAUUAUUUGGACGAAAUGUAUCCAUUUUUAUUUUUUAAAGUGGCAAUCGCACCAUGUCAUAUUACAUCUUAAAUUAUAUAUUUACCAAGAUCCUUAAAAAUUUCGACAGUAAACAAAUUGAGAAAAGAAUUAAAAGUACAAAUAAAAUCUAAUCACAUUGCCUGCAUUCUUGAUAAACUAUCUUUCGAAUUAACUGGCACCGCAAUAAUGCAUCAUCAAAUACACGUUAGAAAAAUGCUCAUAAAUUGACAGAUUAAAAAGAAAGAAUAAUUUAAAAUAAUUCCUACUACACUUUAACUAUUUCAAAAGUAAGAUAGGUAAGCACUGUUCACACACCGAAAGAAAUGAGAAAAACAUCAUUAAGGUCCUCACUCUUCCCUAUAAUCUGGAUUGUCCUUCAAUAUUACAAACCCUUCAAGAAUUGGCGAUAUGGGAAUAUAUCUGCAGAAAAACAACUGUUAGUAUGAAAAAGACAAGAAAGCUUGCUCUAAAAUUUUAUAAGGUAGUAGAAGAAUUACUUUUCUGUGGCUAGCUCUGCCCUAUCCCCAGCAGCCAAUAGAACAGGGGUGGAAUGGGUCUGAAAUCCAGUUAUCGUCUUAGGACGACCUGCCUGUCCAACAACGUCCACUGCUUGACCAACCCGAACAGGCACUGAAAGAGGCUUUAAGCUCUCAUCCACAGUUAACAACAUCCUCGGCUGUUGCAACAGAAUAUAAUUAAAACCAGCUUCAAAUGGGGGAAGAGAUAGAGGAAAUGAGACUCAAACAAACCUGCAUUGCCAAAACGAGGAAGUAGAGAACAUAGUGAUAUUUUCCCAACACAAUAGCUUUCAUAUCAAGGCAAGCAUGCAACAUAGUAAUUAGUCCGGCAAGUGCUGUCCUGUAAAAAUUGAAAGGCAAGUAAUGUCAAAUACAAAUAUUACAAUGAAACAUGUCAUUUGAAGUCACGACGUAAAUUAGGUUGCUGCUACAUGACAAAAAGGUUUUACUUAAGAGACAACAGAAGAUGGGAAAACUUACGGUGACAGUAAAGCCCGGUCAGAAUGAUAAGGAUUAAGUGUAAGAAGUCCCUUUCCCAAAUGUACAAGACCUUGGGCAAUUCGCACCUGUAGGGCAGAAAAGAAAAUCAGAGAUCAUUAAAACAACCAGAAUUAUAAAAUAAGGACAGCUAGCUUAUAGAUGAAACAUACACAAAAUAGAAGGCUGGUAUCCUUGUAGUAAUAGCUUGAAAGAUUGCGUAGCAUGCCAGCAAUUCGAGCAUUGUUUGUUCCGGCGCCUAUUAGACCCAAGGAGAUAACAGCUGCCUGUAGCAUACAAAAAAAUUUCUCAAAAAAAAUAAGAAUCAUAUCAUAGACAGCAAUGAUUUAAGAGGCUUUACCAUCUUACCAUUGCUACUUCUGAAUCAGUAUCAUGGCUAAGUCUGCUUAAGGUAUCCAUAACAUUGACCUGUAACAAUCAAUAAAAGAGUUAGCAAUCAGCAAAGUAAACAAACAUGAAACCUUGCUUAAGAUUGCAACCAGAGUUAGCAGUAUCGCGACAAAAACACACAAGUUAAAGUCUCAAAGUCAUGUUGGCUUGCUGACUCGGCAGUAAACUCGGUAAACUCAUCCGAGUUCAAGAAGCGAGUCGUUUCACUUUUCCAGCGGCGGCGUUUCAGUUUUCAAGAUGCUUUUUUCUAUAAAUAAACCCUAGUUAGGUGAAAACGGGUCUGGGUCGGGUCAUUUAAUAUUAAAUGCUGAUUUAUUAUAAUUUUUACAAAAUAGGAAUGUGUAAAGACACAUCAAACUUUCUCUUUUUCAAGAAAAAUGCAUAGUAUCAUAUCAUUGGAAUGGAAUAAACCAACCGUUACUGAAUUACUGCAACAUAAAUUCUUUCUCCCAUUACUUCUUCAUCGUAAACAUUCAAGCUUCCUCUUUCUCACUAACAAAUUAUUUAAACAGAAUCACUUCCUCUUUUCUCUUUCACAUUCAAGCUUCUUCUUCUUCCUCUUUUUCUAUGUUUUUUUUUUAUGAAUUUAUGGUAAUUAUCAUGAACUUAUGAAUUUAUGGUUAUGAAUGUGAACUUAUUUUGUAUUAUAUAGUAUGAUUUUUUAGAAUGUGUAUGUAAUUAUACAUACAAAAAUAUAUUUUCCACCAAUAGUAGGAUCUUACAAUCCGUGCUACGAUCCUCUACCAAUUCUGCGUAAACUCUUGAGUUUUUAAACAUUGAUUGCAACAGUUGUUUACCAUCUGUCAUCUUUUCAGAACAUGGUCAUAAUGUGCUCAACACUGAUAAAUAAUGAUACUAAGGUGAUAAAUAGUAGGUAGGCAAAUCUAUUUUACCUUUGGAUUUGAUAUGCACAACAGACCAAGUGCCAGAGGAACUGCUCGGCGAAUAUUCUGCUCUCCAUACUGUAGAAGAUGUUCUAACGAUCGAAUAGCCAUCUCAACACCUAAUUCUUCAGCCAUUGCUACCAUAGCAAUUCCAAGAACUGCCGGACCUUGGUGCAUUUCACCUUUGUCAAGAUGUUGUGAACAAUGACCCAAAAGAUUUUGCACCUGCAUGAAAUAAGCACCGGCAAUUAUAAACAUUAAAGGCUGCAGCAGAAAUCUUUUCAUUAAAAGGUUAAGUAUAUUAUAAGAGUAUACCUUGAGAACAUUCCCAGUUCCAGCAUAGGCACAUGACAGUAGUGUCAUGUCACAAUACUUCCUAAUUUUUUCAUUAAAAGUCUUUGAAACUUCAGCAGUUGCCUCCACAUUUUCCUGUUACAGAGCACAAUAUGGAGUAAAUAUUACAUGAGUGACUUUGACCCAACCUAAUAGAAAAACCCCUCCAACUAUUCAACGUUCUCAGAAACUAAAGAAAUAAGAUUACAAAUGCUUUGCAAAUGUAGAUAAGGCAAUCUAUAACACAUCUACAAAGGUCCAACUUUGACUUGGACCUUGCAUGGUGAGUUUUGUAGAACCAGGGUUCCUUUUAAAUGAACUAAAAAGACAAAAGGACAACAAAAGAGGCAAUUGAAACUGUCAAUCGAGAAAUACCUGCUUCCCAAGAUAAAGAAGACCAAGGCCGAGUGGUAGUAGUCGUGUAAGGGGCUCUCCUAACUCUGACUCACUCCGGUCCAUCAAUGUAAAUAUGAUUGCUUGAGCAACUUCCUCAUUGCAAGAACCCACAUAGAUCAAGCCCAAUGCAAUUGCCGUGAAAGCAAUCACAUCAAGUGAAGCUUUAGGAUCACUCAGAAUAGGUGCCAACUUGUAUCGUAGCUGAAAGAAG